rnacentral:rRNA from 1 species
UACGGAGGAUGCGAGCGUUAUCCGGAUUUAUUGGGUGUAAAGGGUGCGCAGGCGGAGGUGCAAGUCAGCGGUCAAAUCGUGGGGCUCAACCCCAUCCAGCCGUUGAAACUGGCAGACUUGAGUUGGCGAGAAGUACGCGGAAUGCGCGGUGUAGCGGUGAAAUGCAUAGAUAUCACGCAGAACCCCGAUUGCGAAGGCAGCAUACCGGUGCACAACUGACGCUCAGGCACGAAAGCGUGGGUAUCGAACAGG